rnacentral:rRNA from 1 species
AUGGAGGCUAAUCUAUGGCAAUCCCUGGGCACUGUCCUCACGCUACUGCUGGCCUCGAGGGCAGUAUGGUAUCUAGUUUGGAGGCCGUACACGAUGACCUCGUGGUUCCGGCGGCAGGGGAUCCGAGGGCCGCCUUACAGGUUCCUGGUUGGCUCCCUGCCGGAGCUAAAGAGGAUGCUGGCCACCGGGAGAGCCAAGGGUCUUGACGUAGUAUCCCACGACUGCGUCGCCACCGUGAUACUCUUCUUCCGAAAAUGGGAGUCCGACUACGGAAAGACAUUUCUCUACUGGUUAGGACCGAUAUCAGCCCUUUGUUCUACUGACAUGGACCUAGUGAAGCAACUGUUGACAGAAAGGACGGACUUGUUCCAAAAGGACUACAUGAAUCCUAGCUUGGACGCAGUCCUAGGCAAUGGGGUCAUAUUGGCAAAUGGAGAUGAUUGGAAACGGCGCCGCAAAUUCGUCCACCCAGCUUUCAACCAAGAGAAGAUCAAGUCCAUGUCAGCAAUGGCAUGGGAGUGCACACAGCAGACGAUGGACCUGUGGUGCGCCAAAAUGCAAGCGGGGAACAGCCAGCAAGCCGAGAUAGACAUGAGGCACGACUCAGGCGAGAUAGCCAUGAGCGUGAUCGCACGAGUGAUGUUGGGGGACAACUACAAGGAUGCCUGGGAGGUGUUCGUCGCCAGCGAAGAGCUGCUGGAGCUCGCGGCAUACGCGUUGGCGGAUCCUCCAAUACCUGGAUUCAGGUACCUUCCGACACGCCGCAACCUCCGAACGCGGAAGCUCGACAAGCUUGUGACAUGCAAGAUCUCGCAGAUCAUCGCGCGGCUGGCGACCGGCAUCUACGGAGACGACCUGCUUGGGCUGAUGCUGCAAGCAUGCAGCCAGCCAACCGCCGGUGCUGCGAGACUGAGCACCGCAGAGAUGAUAGGCGAGUGCAAGACUUUCUUCGCGGCAGGGCACGACACAAGCGCCAACCUCAUCGCCUGGGCCAUGUUCCUGCUCGCCAGAUACCCACGCUGGCAGGAGAUGGUCAGGGAGGAGGUGGGCCGAGAAUGUCCUGACGGCGCCAGCAUCGAGUCCCUUGGCAAACUCAAGCUGCCUAACAUGCUGCUCUUGGAGACGCUGAGGCUGUACCCCCUAGGCUAUCUGCAGAGGAAGACCGCCUCCGACACCGUGCUCGCAAACAUCAUGGUGCCCAAAGGAACAAUGAUAACGAUCCCGCUGAUGAUGCUGCACCGGGACAAAGAGGUCUGGGGCGCCGACGCCGAUGAGUUCAACCCCAUGAGGUUCGAAAACGGCGUCUCGAGUGCCGCUAAGCAUUCCAAUGCGCUCCUGGCAUUCUCAUAUGGGCCGAGAAUCUGUGCCGGGCAGAAUUUCGCCAUGGUCGAGGUGUAGACCGUGAUAGCCAUGAUUGUCAAGAGGUUUUCCUUUUUUUUGAGAACACCAUUAUAA